rnacentral:rRNA from 1 species
UACGAAGGGGGCUAGCGUUGCUCGGAAUCACUGGGCGUAAAGCGCACGUAGGCGGCUUCUUAAGUCAGAGGUGAAAUCCUGGAGCUCAACUCCAGAACUGCCUUUGAUACUGGAGAGCUUGAGUCCGGGAGAGGUGAGUGGAACUGCGAGUGUAGAGGUGAAAUUCGUAGAUAUUCGCAAGAACACCAGUGGCGAAGGCGGCUCACUGGCCCGGUACUGACGCUGAGGUGCGAAAGCGUGGGGAGCAAACAGG